rnacentral:rRNA from 1 species
UAAUAGCGUAUAUUAAAGUUGUUGCAGUUAAAAAGCUCGUAGUUGGAUCUUGGGGUCGGGCGGUCUGUCGGCCAAUGGUCGGACGGAUUGCUUGGCUCUUUUUUUCUAGGAGGGCGUCACCAUUAGUUUGGGGGCGAAACCGCUUAGAUCUUUUACUUUGAAAAAAUUAGAGUGUUCAAAGCAGGCCAUCGCUUGAAUACAUUAGCAUGGAAUAAUGGAAUAGGACUACGGUUCUAUUUUGUUGGUUUCUAGGACCGAAGUAAUGAUUAAUAGGGAUAGUUGGGGCCGUUUGUAUUCCGUUGUCAGAGGUGAAAUUCUUGGAUUUACGGAAGACAGACUUCUGCGAAAGCAUUUGCCAAGGAUGUUUUCAUUGA